GCCAUUGUGCUCAGUGGAUGGAGCAUUGGCCUGCACACCGAAGGGUCACAGGUUCGAUUCCUGGUCAAGGGCA
rnacentral:tRNA from 1 species